UACGUAGGUGGCAAGCGUUGUUCGGAAUUAUUGGGCGUAAAGGGCGCGUAGGCGGUUUGUUAAGUCGGCUGUGAAAGCCCGGGGCUCAACCCCGGAGGGUCAGCCGAUACUGGCAGGCUAGAGUACAGAAGAGGUAACUGGAAUUCCUGGUGUAGCGGUGAAAUGCGCAGAUAUCAGGAGGAACACCAACGGCGAAGGCAGCACUCUGGGCCGGUACUGACGCUGAGGAACGAAAGCGUGGGGAGCGAACAGG
rnacentral:rRNA from 1 species